GUUCAUCCAGUGAGGACUGGCACUUUCGGGCUCUACACUAGGCACUGGAGUGAACCAUGGCACCCCACCCGUGGGGCCAUCUCCUGCUGCUGUUGCUGCUGCCGGCCCUGGGGGCCAGCUCCACCCUGGGCAGGGGUCUUUCCAGGCCCCUCAAAGACAUUCCAGUAGCCCACACCAAGGACUCCGAGCCCCAAGCCUCUGACUUCCUGUGGCGGAACCCUAGGCACUCCGAAAUCCCCCAGGUCCAUGCCGCAGGUCCCCAGUGGCCUGCAGACUCUCCCCUAGGCCCAGCCCUGCCUGGGCCCCACGCAUCCCCUGGGGCUCAGGGAGUGCAGCUCCCCAUGACUGAUGACCUCCAGCUGGCUCAAGGGCCCAGUUCCUGGGGCUGGAUGGGACUCCCAGACACUCAGGAGCCUCAGGAGCAAGAUGCACCUGCCCCCCUCCCAGCAGACACCCCCCACCUCAUGGUCACCCCCACACCUCCCAGUCUUCAAGUUAGGCCAGCCACAGUCCCUCCUGUCCCCCAGGAGCUCCAAGGCCCAGUAGGGCAGCACCCACCUAGAGAUGGGGAUCCCAAGGCCACACCCAAGACCAGAGCCCCCCAGGCUUCUCCCUUGGCCCCCCAGGACUUUUACCAUACUCUCCUGCCCCACGCAAGCACAGUCAUGGAGCCAGUGAUGGGAGGAAAGGACAGGCAUAAGGGUGACUUCCAGGAGGCAGCUGAAGGCCCCCACUCUACCCUGGAGGCCCCAGUGGCCCCUGAUGGCAGCGUAGUCUCCCCCACUGACCCCAGGGCCCAGCCAGACCUGGCAUUGGCCAGAAGCCUACCUCCUACAGUGGAGCUGCCACCUGAGCCCCCUAAGGUUGGUGCUGGGGACACCUGGGACAUCAGGUCCCCAGGCCCUCGGCCCAAGCAGGUGGACCUUCCUGAAGUCAAGGGUUCCCAAGGACCCCAGCCCACAAGUGCUGCAGCCUCAGAGGCUCUGGAUGGGCAGCUGAAGCCAGAGACAGCAGUGAUGAAUGGAGCAGACCCCAUCUUCCCACAGCGGGUGAGAGGAGCAGUGGGGGCCCCAGAAACCCCCAAGUCCCUCAACCCUGGCCUCUCAGACCCUGGCCCAGCCACAAAUGGAACAGAGAGCCCUGUGAGGGUCCUGCAGCCAGAUGGAGCUGAGGAGUGGCCAGGGCGGCCCCAGAGCCAUCCCCCAGCACCCCCAGUCCAGGCCCCCUCAACAUCUCGCCGAGGCCUCAUUCGAGUCACCACACAGAGAGCCCUGGGACAGCCACUGGCACCGGAGCCCUCGGCCAGCUCCACCGCCUCCGACCCGGCUUCCA
rnacentral:lncRNA from 1 species